UCGAGGAAGAAAAUAUUUAUCCAUUGAGUUUCUUGAUUAUCUAAAGAAAAAUGAUUCUCUCUGAAUAGACCCCUUUUCACACACUACAGUUAAAUGGUAUAGCCGAAAGGAGGAAUCACACAUUAUUAAAUAUGGUAUGGUCCAUGAUGUGCUUCACAAAUCUUUCUAUUUUAUUUUGAGGAUGUACCCUAAAAACUACUGCUUAUAUU
rnacentral:lncRNA from 1 species